GACGAACGCUGGCGGCGUGCUUAAUACAUGCAAGUCGAACGGAAAGGCCCUGCUUUUGGUGGUCGCUCGAGGGGCGAACGGGUGAGUAACACGUGAGUAACCCGCCCCUGAGGGUGGGAUAACUGCAGGAAACUGGGGUUAAGACCGGAUAGGAUCGCCUGAUGCAGGGGGGUGGAUGGAAAGUGUCGGCGGUUGGGGAUGGACUCGCGGCUUGUCAGCUUGUUGGUGGGGUAGUGGCUUACCAAGGCUUUGACGGGUAGCCGGCCUGGGAGGGUGACCGGCCACAUUGGGCCUGGGAUAGGCCCCAGACUCGAACGGGGGGCAGCAGGGGGAAAUAUGGCACAAUGGCGGGAGGCCUGUUGCGCAACCCCCCGGGGCGGAAUACCGGCUUUGGGGUGGAAAACCGUUUUCGCAUGUGCCGAGCCGGUAGUGACGGUACCGGGUAAAGAAGCACCGGCUAACUACGUG
rnacentral:rRNA from 1 species